rnacentral:rRNA from 1 species
UUGAUCCUGGCUCAGAAUCAACGCUGGCGGCGCGCUUAACACAUGCAAGUCGAACGAGAAAGGGGAGCAAUCCCUGAGUAAAGUGGCGUACGGGUGAGUUACACGUGGAUAAUCUGCCUUUUUGUGGGGGAUAACCUGGGGAAACCUGGUCUAAUACCGCAUAAGCUCGAGAGAGGAAAGCCGCAAGGCGCAGAAAGAGUAGUCCGCGGUCGAUUAGCUAGUUGGUAGGGUAAGAGCCUACCAAGGCAAUGAUCGAUAGCCGGCCUGAGAGGGCACACGGCCACACUGGCACUGAAACAUGGGCCAGACUCCUACGGGAGGCAGCAGUGGGGAAUCUUGCACAAUGGGGUAAACCCUGAUGCAGCGACGCCGCGUGAGCGAUGAAGCCCUUCGGGGUGUUAAGCUCUUUCGACAGGAACGAUAAUGACGGUACCUGUGGAAGAAGCUGCUGCUAACUACGUGCCAGCAGCCGCGGUAAUU